rnacentral:rRNA from 1 species
AUUGAACGCUGGCGGAAUGCUUUACACAUGCAAGUCGAACGGCAGCACGGACUUCGGUCUGGUGGCGAGUGGCGAACGGGUGAGUAAUAUAUCGGAACGUGCCCAGUCGUGGGGGAUAACGUAGUGAAAAUUACGCUAAUACCGCAUACGAUCUAUGGAUGAAAGCGGGGGAUCGCAAGACCUUGCGCGAUUGGAGCGGCCGAUAUCAGAUUAGGUAGUUGGUGAGGUAAAGGCUCACCAAGCCAACGAUCUGUAGCUGGUCUGAGAGGACGACCAGCCACACUGGAACUGAGACACGGUCCAGACUCCCACGGGAGGCAGCAGUGGGGAAUUUUGGACAAUGGACGCAAGUCUGAUCCAGCCAUUCCGCGUGCAGGACGAAGGCCUUCGGGUUGUAAACUGCUUUUGUACGGAACGAAAAGGUCUCUAUUAAUACUAGGGGCUCAUGACGGUACCGUAAGAAUAAGCACCGGCUAACUACGUGCCAGCAGCAGCCGCAG